rnacentral:rRNA from 1 species
GAGUUUGAUCCUGGCUCAGAGCGAACGCUGGCGGCGUGCUUAACACAUGCAAGUCGCACGGGCGGGUCUGGCUUCGGCUGGGUCUGUCAGUGGCGGACGGGUGAGUAACGCGUGGGAACCUGUCCUGGAGUGGGGGAUAACCCGGGGAAACUCGGGCUAAUACCGCAUACGCCCUUGGUGGGGGAAAGGCUUGUGGGGGGAAACUUCUGCAGGUCGCUCUUGGGGGGGCCCGCGUCCGAUUAGCUGGUUGGUGGGGUAAUGGCCUACCAAGGCUGUGAUCGGUAGCCGGUCUGAGAGGAUGGUCGGCCACACCGGGACUGAGACACGGCCCGGACUCCUACGGGAGGCAGCAGUGGGGAAUCUUGGACAAUGGGCGCAAGCCUGAUCCAGCGACGCCGCGUGGGGGAUGAAGGCCUUCGGGUUGUAAACCCCUUUUCCUGGGGACGAUGAUGACGGUACCUGGGGAAUAAGCACCGGCCAACUCCGUGCCAGCAGCCGCGGUAAGACGGGGGGUGCUAGCGUUGCUCGGAAUCACUGGGCAUAAAGGGCGCGUAGGCGGCCUCGUGCGUCGGGCGUGCAAGCCCGGGGCUCAACCUCGGAAGGGCGUUCGAUACGGCGGGGCUUGAGGCCGGAAGAGGAGGGUGGAAUUCCCAGUGUAGAGGUGAAAUUCGUAGAUAUUGGGAGGAACACCGGUGGCGAAAGCGGCUCUCUGGUCCGGUCCUGACGCUGAGGCGCGAAAGCGUGGGGAGCAAACAGGAUUAGAUACCCUGGUAGUCCACGCCCUAAACGAUAUGCGCUAGCCGUCGGGGGGCUUGCUCUUCGGUGGCGUAGCUAACGCGUGAAGCGCACCGCCUGGGGAGUACGGCCGCAAGACUAAAACUCAAAGGAAUUGACGGGGGCCCGCACAAGCGGUGGAGCAUGUGGUUUAAUUCGACGCAACGCGCAGAACCUUACCAGCCCUUGACAUGGCGGGUUGCGGUUCCGGGAGACCGGGGCCAGCGGUUCGGCCGGGCCCGUCACAGGUGCUGCAUGGCUGUCGUCAGCUCGUGUCGUGAGA